CAAUUGCAUAAAUCCAUUAUUUAACGAUCACAGGUUAUAUCAGGAUACUUUUAAAUAUUUCACCAUAGAAAUCAAUCACCAGUAAGAAACACUCAUAUUUCCUUUAGCGUGAGGCAAUUUUAAACUUGGACAAAUUCCUAAAUCAUAAUACAGCUAUGUUACAUUAAUCUUGUUAAAAUGCCGGAUAUCCUUAAUACCUAAAGAAGGUGCAGGGAGAGACAAAAUGGCCCAAACAAGCCAGAAUUAAUAUGCUUAUUCAACAUACAGUGGGUUUCGUUUGGUUGGACAAUAUCCAGC